CCAUGCACCGUGUCCAAGCUCUAUGGUCAAGCACUGUCCACACGCCCUGGCCAAGCACUGCCCACACAUCAUGUUCAAGCACCACGGCUGAGCUGAGCACCACGUCCACGGUGCAUGGCUGAGCACCAUGUCCACUCACCACAUCCAUGCACCAUGUCCACGGUGCAUGGCUGAGCACCAAGCCUGAGCACCAUGUCCACGCACCAUGUCCACUCACCACGUCCAUGCACCAUGUCCACUCACCACAUCCAUGCACCAUGUCCACUCACCAUGUCCACGCACCAUGUCAUGCACAGUGUCCACUCACCAUGUCCACUCAACACGUCCACUCACCAUGUCCAUUCACCAUGUCCAUUCGUCAUGUCCACUCACCAUGUCCACUCACCCUGUCCACACACCACACGUCCGAGCACCGUGUCCACGGUGCAUGGCUGAGCACCAUGCCCGAGCACCAUGUCCAUGCACCGUGUCCAAGCUCUAUGGUCAAGCACUGUCCACACGCCCUGGCCAAGCACUGCCCACACAUCAUGUUCAAGCACCACGGCUGAGCUGAGCACCACGUCCACGGUGCAUGGCUGAGCACCACGCCCGAGCACCAUGUCCAUGCACCGUGUCCACACGCUGUGGUCAAGCACCAUGUCCACUCACCAUGUCCGAGCACCCUGUCUGAACACUGUGGUCAAGCACCAUGUCCAUGCACUGUGUCCAAGCACCAAACACAGCGGCACCCUGUCCACGCACCACGUCUGAGCACCACGCCCGAGCACCACGUCUACGAUGCGUGUCCAAGCACCACGUCCGAGCACCAUGUCCAAGCACCAUGUCCAUGCACCAAUGUCCGAGCACCAAUGUCUGAGCACCACAUUCAUGCACCAAUGACCAUGCACCCAUGUCCAAGCACCACGUCUGAGGACCGUGUCCAUGCACCAAUGUCCGAGCACCACGUCUGAGCACCGCGGUCGAGCACCACGUCCAUCACAUGGCCAAGCACUGGGACUGAGCACCACGUCCACGCGUCACGUCCGAGCACCGCACUGAGCACCGCGGCCGAGCACCGUGUCCACAAGGUGUGGCUGAGCACCGUUCCUGAGCACCACAUCCAAGCACCACGUCCAUGAGCUGUGGCCAAACACCACGUCCAUGAGUUGUGGCCCCUCACCACAUCCAUGAGCUGUGGUCCAGCACCACGUCCAUGAGCUGUGGCCAAGCAUCACAUCCAUGAGCUGUGGUCCAGCACCACGUCCAUGAGCUGUGGCCCCUCACCACAUCCAUGAGCUGUGGCCCAGCACCACGUCCAUGAGCUGUGGCCAAGCUCACAACUGAACACCACGUCCAUGACGUGUGGCUGAGCACUGAGCCUGAGCACCGAGUCUGAGCACCGUGUCUAUGAUGUGUGACCAAGCACCGUGUCCGAGCACCACCUCCAAGCGCCACACCAACUGUGUGUGGCCGAGCACCAUGUCCGAGCACUUAUGCCCACACACCUGGCCAAGCACCAUGACCACCACACACCUGGUUGAGCACCCUGUCCAAGCACCAUGACCACACACCUGGCCAAGCAUCCUAUCCAAGCACCAUGACCACACCUGGCCGAGCACCAUGACCAUACACCUGGCCGAGCACCCCAUCCAAAGCACUAUGACCACACACUUGUCCGAGCGCUGUGGCCGAGCACCAUGACCCCACUCCUGGCUGAGCACCAUGACCACACCUGGCCAAGCACCAUGACCACACCUGGCCAAGCCCACGGACAUCACCUCUGAUGCCUCAUCCCGGGACCACACAAGGAACCCGCAGGGAACGGCUCCACCACGACCUCGGACGCGGCACCUCUUUCCGUUUGCAUAAACCCAACCGGCUCCCGGCACGCCUCGAGCUGUCGCUCCAGAAUAGUAAAUUUCCUUCUCAACGACAUUGCUUAAAUUUUUUUUUUUUUUCUUGUCUUAAAUCUUGGUUCCUUAAUUUGAUAUAUACAUUAGUAGCACCUCAGCGAGAUGGAAUCAGGCAGAAGCGUGAUACAGUUUGUUAAAACACCAUAGCACCGUUUGUAUUACAAGAUUUCAUUUAAUAAAAAUAUGCCUUAUAGAGCCCACAAAGCGUACUCCAGUAUUAAAAGGAAAAAUCAGCAAUUGAGGCACCUCAGGGAUUCUGGUUUCCUUCUCCUUCCCAUGCCCCAUCCCGAGAGCAUCGAGAUGAGGGGGGGACCCAAAUGGCAUCCCCCGUUUCCUGCCCGAGGCGAAGCAUCGCGGCCAGAAAAACCAAAGCGGGACGAAGGAGCCGGUCGGGGCUCCCCGUGCCGAGCCCUCCCUGGGGUUUCUACCGCGGGUGUUGUUCUAGCACCAUUGUGGCCACGACCUGCUGCAAAAUCAGGUCCCCACAUCGCACUCAUUAAAAACAUCCCUCCCUCCGAGCUCCGUGACCCCCGCGGCUUCGGCACGGGGCGGGACGAGCGCGGCCGCCGGGACGGGUAAAGGGAAAAAGAUUUUGCUUGGAAACAGCCUCUCAGCAGCAAGGGGUAAAGAGCUGUGCAUAGAUUUCGAGUUUGUGUAGAAGUCUGAAGCGUGCGAAUUUGUAAUGACUGAGAGUUGAGGUAGGUUAGACGUUUAUGUAGUGUAAAAACGUGAGACUGCAGCAGUUCUCGCUCCCCGACCCGCGGCGCCAGCAGCUCCCCGCUCUGAACCCGCCGGAGCCAACGCCGCGCCGGACCGACCCCUCCCUGCACCGAAAAACCUCUGAGCAAGCAGGACUUAGACAGGUUACACGGACCAUCGCCUUCUCUGAGCGCUCCUUCUCCUCCUCCAAGGCACCCCCGUCACGCCAGCCAGAGACCCCGGGCGACGCCAACGGGGCCGGCACCCGAAUCCGGCCCCGGAUCAGCCGGGUCCCCGCUCCGCGUCCCGAACCGCAGCGGCGCGGCGGGACCCGGCAUCGCCCGCGGGCAUCCCUAAAAUCUGACUUGCCGUCGACUCUUACAAUCCUGAUAUGCUAUUGGGUAUUUGUAAGAAAAGCGGGAAUAGCUCGUUGAGUUUCCUUGUCAAAUAUACGCGACUUUACAGAUUACGGUUAAAAAAACGAACCAAAAAAAAAAAAAUUUCAUUAAUGAUGAAGGACGGACAAAGCAUGUUAAAUAUUCUGCCAGUAUUUACAGUUCUCCCACAAUAAUCUUGUUUAAAACAUACUGCUUCAAGUUGGGGGGAGUGGGGGGGGAGACCCCCCCCCCCCCCCCCCCCCCCCCCCCCCCCCCCCCCCCCCCCCCCCCCCCCCCCCCCC
rnacentral:lncRNA from 12 species